CGGGUGGUAAUACCGGAUGCUCCGCUCCAUCGCAUGGUGGGGUGGGAAAUGCUUUUGCGGCAUGGGAUGGGGUCGCGUCCUAUCAGCUUGUUGGCGGGGUGAUGGCCCACCAAGGCGUUGACGGGUAGCCGGCCUGAGAGGGUGACCGGCCACAUUGGGACUGAGAUACGGCCCAGACUCCUACGGGAGGCAGCAGUGGGGAAUAUUGCACAAUGGGCGCAAGCCUGAUGCAGCGACGCCGCGUGCGGGAUGGAGGCCUUCGGGUUGUAAACCGCUUUUGUUCAAGGGCAAGGCACGGUUUCGGCCGUGUUGAGUGGAUUGUUCGAAUAAGCACCGGCUAACUACGUGCCAGCAGCCGCGGUAAUACGUAGGGUGCGAGCGUUAUCCGGAUUUAUUGGGCGUAAAGGGCUCGUAGGCGGUUCGUCGCGUCCGGUGUGAAAGUCCAUCGCCUAACGGUGGAUCUGCGCCGGGUACGGGCGGGCUGGAGUGCGGUAGGGGAGACUGGAAUUCCCGGUGUAACGGUGGAAUGUGUAGAUAUCGGAA
rnacentral:rRNA from 1 species